CCGAUCUUAGCUCAGUUGGAAGAGCGCGAGACUGUAAUGGAUAAUUUCAUCUUGAGGUCGCCUGUUCGAGCCAGGCAGAUCGGA
rfam:Paxillus involutus ATCC 200175 unplaced genomic scaffold PAXINscaffold_5, whole genome shotgun sequence.